rnacentral:rRNA from 1 species
CAGCAGCCGCGGUAACACGUAGGUGGCAAGCGUUGUCCGGAAUUAUUGGGCGUAAAGGGCUCGCAGGCGGUUUCUUAAGUCUGAUGUGAAAGCCCCCGGCUCAACCGGGGAGGGUCAUUGGAAACUGGGAAACUUGAGUGCAGAAGAGGAGAGUGGAAUUCCACGUGUAGCGGUGAAAUGCGUAGAGAUGUGGAGGAACACCAGUGGCGAAGGCGACUCUCUGGUCUGUAACUGACGCUGAGGAGCGAAAGCGUGGGGAGCGAACAGGAUUAGAUACCCGAGUAGUCCCUGUCUCUUAUAC